UAAUGGUUAUAAUAUAAAAUAAAAUAAAAAAAGUGUGUAUACAGAAAAAAUCACAUUUACAGCUCACGCAAAUCACUCAAAUACAUCAAAAAGGGUAUAUGUCGUGCCUAUCUAACAAAAAAAGAGGUAAAGGUGCACCGUGCAUCAGACUAAUGACAAGACAAGAGACAGAGCUGUCUAUAGAAGUCAGAAAAAAAGACCCCCAUCUAGUCCAAUUCCUUAUGUACAGAAAAAAAUAAAAUAGUCGGGACCCACCGGGUCAGCACAUUUUCCCAAGCAGCAAAGACUUCCCGAAACCCGAGCUUCUUCUGGAACUAGACCACCGUCAAUCGAUGAACUCAGGUCGUCUCCAACAACCUGCUAUUCCAUCACCAUCUGUUGAUCUCCUCCUGCGUUUCCUAUCCAGCAGAUCACAAACCCAUCAACCAAAGCCAGCUGUGUUGAUUAAUCGCUGCCUGCAAUCAUCAUCUCCACCUACCGGUAGCUUCUAAUCCCGUUGAGGUGCCCCCGACGACAGUCUUCAUCCCUAUCACCUCAAGCUGGCAAAAAAAAAGGGAAGAGGGAUAGUAUAUACAGUAUUCAGAGAAAAGGAAAAAUACACCACAUAUAUCCACAUGGGACUCAACUGGACCAUCUAUUUCCUCAAGAAAAUCAGCUACCACUGCCAUCUCUUCUGGCCGGACUAGCUCUCAUCGGAAGCGAUACCUGACGCCAUCAUCGGUCACGCCCAGCCAACCGAAAGAAUCCCUGACGUUAGCCUUCAUCUCCAACUCCGACAUCCAUCUGUGAACCUCCGAUGCUGCCAAAGAACCCUCGAAACAGCGCCAUCAUCACCAACUGAAAUUAGAUCCAAAUGACCAAUAGUCGCUUCCGAUUCCGACGACUAGAACCAACACCGCCCACCGAAGACGGAUUCCUUCGGAUCUCACCAAACCAUUGCUAGUCGCUUGUAUCGCCGCCAUCACCGCCGCGUCAUCGCCUGUCGACCUAGCUAAUCAGCGCCGCCAGCAACGGAAACCAAAGCACCUCCAGUCGACCUCAUCCCGCUCCGACAACGGCUCUUUCCAUCACCGCCAGUAGUUGUCGAUGGCCUCCGUGCUCUCAAUUGCCGCCAAUAACCACUCACAGGAUCUACACAGUGCCGGUCGUCUCCAAUAAAUCGCCAACACCUACGACGAUUAGAACACAGUCGCAUCUCUGGUCAUCACAAAGGACCGCUGAACUGCACCCAUAAACGUGUUGGUGAAGAACCUAUAGAUUUGUUAAGAAGUUGGGCCCCCACACAUGGUACUUUUGUACCUAC
rnacentral:lncRNA from 1 species